rnacentral:rRNA from 1 species
CCUACGGGUGGCAGCAGUGGGGAAUAUUGGACAAUGGGCGAAAGCCUGAUCCAGCCAUGCCGCGUGUGUGAAGAAGGCCUUCGGGUUGUAAAGCACUUUCAGUGGGGAAGAAAGCCUUGGGGCUAAUACCCUCGAGGAAGGACAUCACCCACAGAAGAAGCACCGGCUAACUCCGUGCCAGCAGCCGCGGUAAUACGGAGGGUGCGAGCGUUAAUCGGAAUUACUGGGCGUAAAGCGCGCGUAGGCGGUCUGAUAAGCCGGUUGUGAAAGCCCGGGCUCAACCUGGGAACGGCAUCCGGAACUGUCAGGCUAGAGUGCAGGAGAGGAAGGUAGAAUUCCCGGUGUAGCGGUGAAAUGCGUAGAGAUCGGGAGGAAUACCAGUGGCGAAGGCGGCCUUCUGGACUGACACUGACGCUGAGGUGCGAAAGCGUGGGUAGCAAACAGGAUUAGAUACCCCAGUAGUC